GAUGAACGCUGGCGGCGUGCCUAAUACAUGCAAGUCGAGCGAACAGACGAGGAGCUUGCUCCUCUGACGUUAGCGGCGGACGGGUGAGUAACACGUGUAUAACCUACCUAUAAGACUGGGAUAACUUCGGGAAACCGGAGCUAAUACCGGAUAAUAUAUUGAACCGCAUGGGUCAAUAGUGAAAGACGGCUUUGCUGUCACUUAUAGAUGGAUCCGCGCCGCAUUAGCUAGUUGGUAAGGUAACGGCUUAGCAAGGCGACGAUGCGUAGCCGACCUGAGAGGGUGAUCGGCCACCCUGCAACUGAGACACGCUCCAUACUCCUACGGUAGGCAGCAGUAGGGAAUCUUCCGCAACGGGCGAAAGCCUGACGGAGCAACGCCGCGUGAGUGAUGAAGGUCUUCGGAUCGUAGAACUCUGUUAUGAGGGAAGAACAAAUGUGUAAGUAACUAUGCACGUCUUGACGGUACCUGGUCAGAAAGCCACGGCUAACUACGUG
rnacentral:rRNA from 1 species